CGCCGCGUGAGUGAAGAAGGUUUUCGGAUCGUAAAGCUCUGUUGUAAGAGAAGAACGGGUGUGAGAGUGGAAAGUUCACACUGUGACGGUAUCUUACCAGAAAGGGACGGCUAACUACGUGCCAGCAGCCGCGGUAAUACGUAGGUCCCGAGCGUUGUCCGGAUUUAUUGGGCGUAAAGCGAGCGCAGGCGGUUAGAUAAGUCUGAAGUUAAAGGCUGUGGCUUAACCAUAGUAUGCUUUGGAAACUGUUUAACUUGAGUGCAGAAGGGGAGAGUGGAAUUCCAUGUGUAGCGGUGAAAUGCGUAGAUAUAUGGAGGAACACCGGUGGCGAAAGCGGCUCUCUGGUCUGUAACUGACGCUGAGGCUCGAAAGCGUGGGGAGCAAACAGGAUUAGAUACCCUGGUAGUCCACGCCGUAAACGAUGAGUGCUAGGUGUUAGGCCCUUUCCGGGGCUUAGUGCCGCAGCUAACGCAUUAAGCACUCCGCCUG
rnacentral:rRNA from 1 species